ACCAGAGCCCUUCCUGGAGGCAGCUCAGAGCUCCAGCUUCCUGAGGUUUGGAGAAGGAGGGUCCAGGCUGGUGGGAGGGGCGGGUGGGGCGCCAGGGUGCUGGGGUGUGUGGCAGGGCAGCUGGCCUGGGCACAGGGAGCCUUGGCUCUUGUGCAGUCAUCCCCACGAGACAACGGUGAGACUGUGGUGGUGAUGACGAAUGGGUGCCUCCAUCAUGCAGGUGCCACCCCAGGCUUGGCCUUUGUAUGUCCCCAUGGAGGCCAGCCGGUUAUCCUGACUUUACUGAAGUCAGCAAGUGGCAGAGCUAGGAUUUGAAGCAGAACCCUGACUUGAGAACCCAUUGGGAGAUGUUUCCUCAGCUUGGUAGACAUGGGUGUCGUAGGACAGACUGGGUUCAAGUCAUGCCCCCACCAUUUCCAUACUGUGUGACUUGGGGCUCAUUGCAUCAUCUCUCUGAACCUCAGCAUUUCCAUCUGUGAAAUGAGACUCUGCUAGCACCUCUUCUGGAGUACUUGGAGAAACGCAGUGCAUCCAGUGGAGCAUGGGUCCCACACGGAGGAAACGCUCAGCAGCUGUGCAUGGUCAUGGCUGGGGUCACUGGGAUUGCUUGCAGAAGGGACAGUGGUGGACCAGUGGUGAUGCAAACACAGACCCUUGGCAGACUCUAGGGAAUUGUCCAUGUUGCUGGACUUUGCUCCAGAUGCAAGGUGCUGUGUGUAGGGCUUGCGUGGCCGCUGUGGAGCCAUCUCCCUCUGCAGGGGCCCGAGAGAGGCUGUGAGCAUCCUGAGGUCGCACAGUGCGGCCUGGCUGGUCCCAUCUUCUGGAGCUGCCAAGAGGAAGACGGCAAAAAGUUCUCACCAAUCCUGCCUUGCUGCAGAAGCAGGAGUUGCAGAGCCAGCAGACUCCCCGGAAAGACCCUGCCUGUGCCUGGGGCACAUCUCCAGAGAGGCCCAGGCCCCUGCCACAGCUCUCCGACUCGCCAUGCC